CAGCGCGCUAGCGGAUCUAGUGUUCUAUGUAUAUCUAUGGUCGGCACGACUGGUAGCAUCUGUGGCUGCUGUUGACCUUGUUUUUGGAGUAAAACACGGUGGAAGCUGAAUUAGUGAGGAUGACUCCUGCUCCUGUCAUCUCUAAGCUCCUCACACAUCUUUACCUGCACAUGAGGAAAAUCACUCCUGUAGAAUGCAGAUGUUCAGAGGGAGAUGAUGCCACAUCUGGUCCAGCUGAUGGAAGGUCUUGAAGUUCUCUGACUGGCCUCGACUGAAGAUGGUCGUCUCACUGGAUUUAAGGUUCAGAUGCUCAGUAACAAACUCCACCAAUGAGCCAACAGGGAAGCUUUAGGUUUAUUAAAUGUUGCUAUGAAGGUUUCGCUGUUUUUCUUUGUGAAUGCAAUGUGCUCCAACUGAAACUUGAAUUAGAACUUAGAAGUAAAUCCUUCCAUCUGAAAGGAUUUAGUUGCAUUAAUAACCUCAUAACAUUCUAAUUUUUAUUCCAGUCUUGGUUGGAAAUAGAAUCUCUGUAUUGAUUCAGGUAAAAACUGAACUUCACAGCAUGUUGGAGCAAAACAACCAGAUGAAAACUGUGAUGGUGUUGGAUUGUCAGACCGUAAUGUUGCAGCUCAAAGCAGCUUUUCUAUCUCAGUUCAUUCUGACAUUCAGCUAUGAAUCAACACAGCAGAUGGUGAUCCAUGCUGUGGAAGUCUCACAUCUCCUGAUUUAAUGGAGCUGCUUUGCACUUUUUACACUGUUUAUUCACCAACACUUUAUUUAAUAAAAGUCCCAUCUAGUUUUUAUGAGGAAUGUGAUGUUUUAAUUUCUCUGUGAAUAACUGCAGUCUAAUGCAACAGCUGGAGUUGUAACAUCUGUCCUGAUAUUGAUCAUGAAGUAUUGAUCAGAAUACUUAUGGUCAGCAGUCAUCCCUGAAGUUUUACAUUAAAAUCUUUACUUGUGUUGUGAACUUUGGUAAGAAGCAGAAACUUUAGCGUUGCCAUGGAUACAUGAGUGUUAAAUUCUGUCCAUGUUUCCAUUUUGGGAAAUUCAGUCCAGCAGAUGAGUUUGUUUUUACUGCCAGCUACCAUUCAGUCUGAGAUAUUAAGAAUAAAUAAAUGUGCAUAAUGUGGAAAUGAACAGAUUUUAUUUUUAUUUAUUCCUACAGCUGCUGGAAAGUUCCAGAAUGUGGAGGAAUUUAGUCUCACAAUCACAGACAAUAAAUAUUAUCUGAAAGUCGGGUUAUUGUUGUUUAUCAGCACAAUACAAAAAGAUUAAUGUUAGAAAUAUUCCAGUUAAGACUCUAGAAUAUCAUGAUUUAUGUAAAUUUACCUCAAUAAUAUGAAUGUUCAGGUUAAGAUUGUACAGUGAUAUUUAUUAUGUAAGUUUAGCUGAUUAAAGUUUAUGAC